rnacentral:lncRNA from 1 species
AUUUGGAGUAGAAGCCUGACUUAUUUCACUUCCUUCAACCGAGUAGCCAGAAGACGAUGAAUAAUCAGAUGGAGUCUCAGUCGCGGAAUCAGAAUUUCCACCCCCCUUACUCUCAGACCUUCUCGAUCUACUAUCCCAAAAUUUAGGAAGCACUCCUCUCUUCGGUGUACAAUCCUCGAGGUCUCCAGUUCUCAUUUUGGUAUUUUUGGUAGCCAAACAUUGGAUUUCUGAACCUGUUUGCUGUCUUCUGUUCUCGGGGAAUCUAUCAGAACCUCUUGAGCUUGAGCUGGACAUAGAGGAUGAAUAAUCAGAUGGAGUCUCAGUCGCAGAAUCAGAAUUUCCACCCCCCUUACUGCCAGACCUUCUCGAUCUACUAUCCCCAAAUUUAGGCCUUGAUGUAGGAAGCACUCCUCUCUUUGGUGUACAAUCCUCGAGGUCUCCAGUUCUCAUUUUUGUAUUUUUGGUAGCCAAACUUUGGAUUUCUGAACCUGUUUGCUGUCUUCU